rnacentral:rRNA from 1 species
CGGCAACAGCUCAAAUUUGAAAUCUGGCCCCUAGGGUCCGAGUUGUAAUUUGUAGAGGAUGCUUUUGGUGAGGUGCCGCCCGAGUUCCCUGGAACGGGACGCCACAGAGGGUGAGAAUCCCGUAUGUGACUGGGUGCCUUCGCCUAUGUGAAGCUCUUUCGAC